rnacentral:rRNA from 1 species
UACGUAUGGUGCAAGCGUUAUCCGGAUUUACUGGGUGUAAAGGGAGCGUAGGCCGGCUUUUAAGUCAGCUGUGAAAGUCCGCGGCUCAACCGUGGAAUUGCAGUUGAAACUGGAGGCCUUGAGUGCACACAGGGAUGCCGGAAUUCAUGGUGUAGCGGUGAAAUGCAUAGAUAUCGCGCAGAACCCCGAUUGCGAAGGCAGCGUGCCGUGCCGCCACUGACGCUGAGGCACGAAAGCGCGGGGAUCGAACAGG